rnacentral:rRNA from 1 species
AUUGAACGCUGGCGGCAGGCCUAACACAUGCAAGUCGAGCGAGCGGCGGACGGGUGGGUAAUGUCUGGGCAACUGCCUGAUGUACGGCGCUAACUACUGGAAACGGUAGCUAAUACCGCAUACCAUCAGAUGUGCCCAGAUGGGAUUUGCUAGUCGGUGGGGUAACGGCUCACCUAGGCGACGCUCCCUAGCUGGUCUGAGAGGAUGACCAGCCAACUUGGGACGGGGACAGUGUCCAGAAUCCGACGGGAGGCAGCAGUGGGGAAUAUUGCACAAGGGGCGCAAGCCUGAUGCAGGCAUGCCGCGUGUGUGAAGAAGGCCUUCGGGUUGUAAAGCACUUUCAGCGGGGAGGCGUUACCCGCAGAAGAAGCACCGGCUAACUCCGUGCCAGCCGCCGCGGUAAUUC